AAUGAACGCUGGCGGCAGGCCUAACACAUGCAAGUCGAACGGGUCCUUCGGGACUAGUGGCGGACGGGUGAGUAACGCGUGGGAACAUACCCUUUGGUACGGAAUAGCCUCUGGAAACGGAGAGUAAUACCGUAUGUGCUCGUAAGAGGAAAGAUUUAUCGCCAAAGGAUUGGCCCGCGUUGGAUUAGGUAGUUGGUGGGGUAAUGGCCUACCAAGCCGACGAUCCAUAGCUGGUUUGAGAGGAUGAUCAGCCACACUGGGACUGAGACACGGCCCAGACUCCUACGGGAGGCAGCAGUGGGGAAUCUUAGACAAUGGGGGAAACCCUGAUCUAGCCAUGCCGCGUGAUCGAUGAAGGCCUUAGGG
rnacentral:rRNA from 1 species